ACUCCUAUGUUGAACAAAAACAUACUCUGAUCUCUUCAGUGGGGCUAAUCUUCUUACUAAUCACAAGGUUUGACCGUUGAAACAGAACAAAGUUCACAUCGUCAGCUCGAGUGAUUUCUCAGCAACGGCAGAAAACAGAAACCAAAGAGACAAAGAGGCAAAAGAAGAGGAAAGGAAAACACCUGAAAGCAUGAUCCGUUUCCCUUGACUUCCUUUGAAUCCAUAGAUAACCUUUCUUAGCUCACAAACACCGAUAGGAAAACAUUGACCUUUGCUUUGGCUGCUGAGGAUUUCCACAUCAGGAGCUACGAGAGGGGGAAACCUGAAAUAUAUUCAGCAUGGAGGCACUGAGUGGCCCCUGGGCUGAUCUGGCUCUGCUCCUGCGACAGACAGUUAUGCUGUCAGACCAGCAGCAGGACACGUUCGUUUGUCUGGUCGGUGUCCUGCUGUUCCUGUCCGUCUCUCUGCUGCUGCUGCAACUGAUCAUCUACCUCAGCUGGAAACUCAGACAAGCUGAGGCUGAGCUCGCUGCGUUUCCAUGGCAACAAGAUGCCAUCCACAGUGUUACACAGGGAGCAGGAGUGGCUGCAUGUGGAGGAACAAGACAAUGAAGCUGCUAAAACAAAAAUCCGAGCAGAAUUCAAGAGUUGGCAAACUAAGAGCAACGCGGCAGCUGGCGGGUUUUCCCCAAACCUGUUACUUGUUAUGAACUUUCAGUCUUUAUAAACUGCAUUUUUGAGUUCUUUUUAUUGUUAUAUAAAGUACAAAAUUGUGUUGCUUUCUCUUUAAAGUAUGAAAUAAGCCAGCAAGUCUUAGAAGUUUGUUUUUUCCAGUUCCAAUUUGAACAAAACUCUGCUAAAGCUGGAGUCAAACCACUGACGAUAUUGAGCUCCCUGAUAGUCCUCAGAUAAACUGGCAUUGAAUCAUCCGUCAUGGUUUUCCAUCUAAAUAUGCUGAUUUGAUUUUUUUUUAAAUAAAGGUUACUUAAAAAAAACGUCUGUCUGAUUUUUCUUGGGAUGAUCUAAUGAAAAGUUUCAGAAAAACUCCACCAAGCUGCUGCAGAGUUCCAACGACUGCCUAACAGUGCAGAGAAGCCUGAACGCUGUGUCACAGACACUGGAAAACGUGGCAGAAAUGCUGAUUUGCAGAAGUUUUUCUUCAUUUUCAAAAUCACAGUACCGGUAACAACAUUACAAAUAAGCAUGAGGCAAAACAGAAUUUACCUUCCAACAACUAACUUGGCUUCACAAAAGAAAAGAAAAAA